CAGAAUGAUCCAACGUGCUUCGGAUCGGUACUUUUCGUUCUCGUCUCCUUCCCUCCAGUACUGCAAUGGCAGCUAGUUUAUAGUGCUCUGUUCUGCAUGGGUGUGGUUGGCAUGCCUUCUAGCAGGGAAAAGAGAGGCCUCGGUACCGAAAGCAAGUUCUUUCUAAUCCUCAGAAACUAAAGCAAAUCGUUUCGGUGAUGUCCUCGCAUCUUUCAUGUUGAUCUUGUGUGAGUAAUGGAAUCUUUCUGUGUUAAUUAUGAGACUUCUUCUUGUGUAGCUUUAUGGUGUACCUGCGAGGUGCAGUUUUCAGGUUAAGAUAAAAGUUGGAAUCGACUCAUUUUCUUUUACUUUUUUUUUUUGGUGAAUGAAUUAAGAUAAAUAUAUAGGAAUAUUAGGUAAUUUUAUUCAGCUUAAUUCACUCCUGGGUUUGAUGAUAACUAUCAUGAGUUUUGGAUGACAGACGACGCAUGAGAAGGCGAUCUCUGCAGUACACCUUGUGCAGCAGCAAUCGCUCUCUCUCUCUCUCUCUCUCCCCGUCAGUAGCUCUUUGGAGUAUAAAGAGGACUUGAGAACCUAGCUUCAUCAGUGAGGGGACAAGAAGCACCAAAGGUAGAUUAGAAAAUGUGUAGAAGGAUUAGUGCACGGGUUUGUCCAAAUAAUUGCUAAACGAAGUGUUCAUGUUGCUGGCAAAACAUAGUCGUCGGAUGAUCUAUAGAUCAUUUUGGAAAAUAGAAAGAUAUUAGAGUAACAUAAGCAAGCUUACUUUCUCGGCUAUUACGUAGUCAAAAUUUGGUGCUUAUGCCUUACUUAGCCGUCGGUCGCAUCCGAGCCCUUCUUACCCAAGACUCACGAAUCACGACGCGCUAAAACCUUCCUUUCCCCAUGACCCACUGUGCGCAUCAUGACAUGCGAAUGACACCCGCAUCAGUACUCAGCCCCACCCACCGCCCACCACGUCACAUUCCCU
rnacentral:lncRNA from 1 species